rnacentral:rRNA from 1 species
CACUGGCGGCGUGCCUAAUACAUGCAAGUCGAGCGAGCGGAACCAACAGAUUUACUUCGGUAAUGACGUUGGGAAAGCGAGCGGCGGAUGGGUGAGUAACACGUGGGGAACCUGCCCCUAAGUCUGGGAUACCAUAUGGAAACAGGUGCUAAUACCGGAUAAUAAAGCAGAUCGCAUGAUCAGCUUUUGAAAGGCGGCGUAAGCUGUCGCUAAGGGAUGGCCCCGCGGUGCAUUAGCUAGUUGGUAAGGUAACGGCUUACCAAGGCGACGAUGCAUAGCCGAGUUGAGAGACUGAUCGGCCACAUUGGGACUGAGACACGGCCCAAACUCCUACGGGAGGCAGCAGUAGGGAAUCUUCCACAAUGGACGCAAGUCUGAUGGAGCAACGCCGCGUGAGUGAAGAAGGUUUUCGGAUCGUAAAGCUCUGUUGUUGGUGAAGAAGGAUAGAGGUAGUAACUGGCCUUUAUUUGACGGUAAUCAACCAGAAAGUCACGGCUAACUACGUGCCAGCAGCAGCGGUAAUACGUAGGUGGCAAGCGUUGUCCGGAUUUAUUGGGCGUAAAGCGAGCGCAGGCGGAAAAAUAAGUCUAAUGUGAAAGCCCUCGGCUUAACCGAGGAAUUGCAUCGGAAACUGUUUUUCUUGAGUGCAGAAGAGGAGAGUGAAACUCCAUGUGUAGCGGUGGAAUGCGUAGAUAUAUGGAAGAACACCAGUGGCGAAGGCGGCUCUCUGGUCUGCAACUGACGCUGAGGCUCGAAAGCAUGGGUAGCGAACAGGAUUAGAUACCCUGGUAGUCCAUGCCGUAAACGAUGAGUGCUAAGUGUUGGGAGGUUUCCGCCUCUCAGUGCUGCAGCUAACGCAUUAAGCACUCCGCCUGGGGGAGUACGACCGCAAGGUUGAAACUCAAAGGAAUUGACGGGGGCCCGCACAAGCGGUGGAGCAUGUGGUUUAAUUCGACGCAACGCGAAGAACCUUACCAGGUCUUGACAUCUAGUGCAAUCUGUAGAGAUACGGAGUUCCCUUCGGGGACGCUAAGACAGGUGGUGCAUGGCUGUCGUCAGCUCGUGUCGUGAGAUGUUGGGUUAAGUCCCGCAACGAGCGCAACCCUUGUUAUUAGUUGCCAGCAUUAAGUUGGGCACUCUAAUGAGACUGCCGGUGACAAACCGGAGGAAGGUGGGGAUGACGUCAAGUCAUCAUGCCCCUUAUGACCUGGGCUACACACGUGCUACAAUGGGCAGUACAACGAGAAGCAAGCCUGCGAAGGCAAGCGAAUCUCUGAAAGCUGUUCUCAGUUCGGACUGCAGUCUGCAACUCGACUGCACGAAGCUGGAAUCGCUAGUAAUCGCGGAUCAGCACGCCGCGGUGAAUACGUUCCCGGGCCUUGUACACACCGCCCGUCACACCAUGGGAGUCUGCAAUGCCCAAAGCCGGUGGCCUAACCUUCGGGAAGGAGCCGUCUAAGGCAGGGCAGAUGACUGGGGUGAAGUCGUAACAAGGUAACC